AUUGAACGCUGGCGGCAUGCCUUACACAUGCAAGUCGAACGGCAGCACGGGAGCAAUCCUGGUGGCGAGUGGCGAACGGGUGAGUAACAUAUCGGAACGUGCCCAGUGAGUGGGGGAUAGCCCGGCGAAAGCCGGAUUAAUACCGCAUACGACCUACGGGUGAAAGCAGGGGAUCGCAAGACCUUGCGUCAUUGGAGCGGCCGAUAUCAGAUUAGCUUGUUGGUGGGGUAAAAGCCCACCAAGGCGACGAUCUGUAGCUGGUCUGAGAGGACGACCAGCCACACUGGGACUGAGACACGGCCCAGACUCCUACGGGAGGCAGCAGUGGGGAAUUUUGGACAAUGGGCGCAAGCCUGAUCAGCCAUGCCGCGUGCGGAAGAAGGCCUCGGUGUAACG
rnacentral:rRNA from 1 species